GAUGAAGAACGCAGCAAAAUGCGAUAAGUAAUGUGAAUUGCAGAAUUCAGUGAAUCAUCGAAUCUUUGAACGCACAUUGCGCCCGCCAGUAUUCUGGCGGGCAUGCCUGUUCGAGCGUCAUUUCAACCCUCAAGCACAGCUUGGUGUUGGGACUCGCGUUAAUUCGCGUUCCCCAAAUUGAUUGGCGGUCACGUCGAGCUUCCAUAGCGUAGUAGUAAAGCCCUCGUUACUGGUAAUCGUCGCGGCCACGCCGUUAAACCCCAACUUCUGAAUGUUGACCUCGGAUCAGGUAGGAAUACCCGCUGAACUUAAGCAUAUCAAUAAGCGGAGGA
rnacentral:misc_RNA from 1 species